rnacentral:rRNA from 1 species
AACGAACGCUGGCGGCGUGCCUAACACAUGCAAGUCGAACGAGACCUUCGGGUCUAGUGGCGCACGGGUGCGUAACGCGUGGGAAUCUGCCCCUCGGUUCGGAAUAACAGUUAGAAAUGACUGCUAAUACCGGAUAAUGACUUCGGUCCAAAGAUUUAUCGCCGAGGGAUGAGCCCGCGUAAGAUUAGGUAGUUGGUGGGGUAAAGGCCUACCAAGCCGACGAUCUUUAGCUGGUCUGAGAGGAUGAUCAGCCACACUGGGACUGAGACACGGCCCAGACUCCUACGGGAGGCAGCAGUGGGGAAUAUUGGACAAUGGGCGAAAGCCUGAUCCAGCAAUGCCGCGUGAGUGAUGAAGGCCUUAGGGUUGUAAAGCUCUUUUACCAGGGAUGAUAAUGACAGUACCUGGAGAAUAAGCUCCGGCUAACUCCGUGCCAGCAGCCGCCGUAA